CGGGUGAGUAAUGGAUAAGUAACCUGCCCUUAAGUGGGGGAUAACACUUCGAAAGAAGUGCUAAUACCGCAUGUGGUGCUCUUUCACAAGAAGGAUCACUAAAACCGCAAGGUGCUUGAGGAGGGGCUUGUCUCCGAUUAGCUAGUUGGUGGGGUAACGGCCUACCAAGGCGAUGAUCGGUAGCUGGUCUGAGAGGAUGGUCAGCCACACUGGGACUGAGACACGGCCCAGACUCCUACGGGAGGCAGCAGCAAGGAAUCUUGGGCAAUGGGCGAAAGCCUGACCCAGCGACGCCGCGUGAGGGAUGACGGCCUUCGGGUUGUAAACCUCUUUUCUCAGGGAAGAAUAAUGACGGUACCUGAGGAAUAAGUCUCGGCUAACUACGUGCCAGCAGCCGCGGUAAUACGUAGGAAGCGAGCGUUAUCCGGAUUUAUUGGGCGUAAAGUGGGCGUAGGUGGUCUUUCAAGUCGGAUGUGAAAUCUCCCGGCUCAACUGGGAGGGGUCAUCCGAUACUGUUGGACUUGAGUACAGCAGGGGAAAAUGGAAUUCCCGGUGUAGUGGUGAAAUGCGUAGAUAUCGGGAGGAACACCAGAGGCGAAGGCGAUUUUCCAGGCUGAAACUGACACUGAGGCCCGAAAGCGUGGGGAGCGAACAGGAUUAGAUACCCUGGUAGUCCACGCCUUAAACUCUAUGAGUAGGUAUAGGG
rnacentral:rRNA from 1 species